ACCUGGCUGGCUCAGUCAGAGGAGCUCGAGACUUUUGAUCUUGGGGUCGUGAGUUCAAGCCUCACAUUGGGCA
rnacentral:tRNA from 1 species